GACGAACGCUGGCGGCGUGCCUAACACAUGCAAGUCGAGCGGGGUUGAAGCGAGGGGUAACUCGGACUUCUACCUAGCGGCGGACGGGUGAGUAACGCGUGGGCAACCUGCCUCAAGGUUUGGGAUAACAGCUCGAAAGGGCUGCUAAUACCGGAUAUGCCUAUGGCCUCGCAUGGGGCUAUGAGCAAAGGGGAAACCCGCCUUGAGAUGGGCCCGCGUCCCAUCAGCUAGUUGGUGAGGUGAAGGCUCACCAAGGCGACGACGGGUAGCCGGCCUGAGAGGGUGACCGGCCACACUGGGACUGAGACACGGCCCAGACUCCUACGGGGGCAGCAGUGGGGGAUCUUGCACAAUGGGCGAAAGCCUGAUGCAGCGACGCCGCGUGAGCGAAGAAGGCCUUCGGGUUGUAAAGCUCUGUCUGGAGGGACGAACGAAAAUGAACGGUACUCCGGAGGAAGACCACGGCUAACUACGUG
rnacentral:rRNA from 1 species